rnacentral:rRNA from 1 species
AGAGUUUGAUCAUGGCUCAGGACAAACGCUGGCGGUGUGUAUUAGGCAUGCAAGUCGAGCGAGAAGCCGGCCUUCGGGCUGGUGGAGAGCGGCGGACGGGUGAGUAACACGUGGGUAACCUGCCCUGGAGUGGGGGAUAACCCGGCGAAAGCCGGGCUAAUACCGCAUACGACCCCCGAUGAGAGAUCGGGUGGUGAAAACUCCGGUGCUCCGGGAGGGGCCCGCGGCCGAUUAGCUAGUUGGUGAGGUAACGGCCCACCAAGGCGACGAUCGGUAGCUGGUCUGAGAGGAUGAUCAGCCACACGGGGACUGAGAACGGCCCCGACUCCUACGGGAGGCAGCAGCUAAGAANNNUGCGCAAUGGGCGAAAGCCUGACGCAGCAACACCGCGUGCGGGAGGAAGGCCUUCGGGUUGUAAACCGCUUUUGCGAGGGAAGAA